rnacentral:rRNA from 1 species
CAACUUAUAAGUAAGAGGUCCGCCUGCCCUGUGACUAUUAGUUUAACGGCCGCGGUAUUUUGACCGUGCGAAGGUAGCGCAAUCACUUGUCUUUUAAAUGAAGACCUGUAUGAAUGGCAUAACGAGGGCUUAACUGUCUCCUCUCUCCAGUCAAUGAAAUUGAUCUUCCCGUGCAGAAGCGGGAAUACACACAUAAGACGAGAAGACCCUAUGGAGCUUUAGACACCAAGGCAGAUCAUGUUAAUAGUCCUGAAUAAAGGAACAAACCAGAUGGAACCUGCUCUAAUGUCUUUGGUUGGGGCGACCGCGGGGAAUUAAAAAACCCCCACGUGGAAUGGGAGCACCCCUCCUACAACUCAUAGAGCUACAGCUCUAGUUAGCAGAAAUUCUGGACACAGCAAGAUCCGGCAAAUGCCGAUCAAACGGACCGAGU